UACAGAGGUCUCAAGCGUUGUUCGGAUUCAUUGGGCGUAAAGGGUGCGUAGGCGGCUCGGUAAGUCUGGUGUGAAAUCUCGGAGCUUAACUCCGAAACUGCAUUCGAUACUGCCGUGCUUGAGGACUGGAGAGGAGACUGGAAUUUACGGUGUAGCGGUGAAAUGCGUAGAUAUCGUAAGGAAGACCAGUGGCGAAGGCGGGUCCCUAGACAGUUACUGACGCUGAAGUACGAAGGCCAGGGGAGCAAACGGG
rnacentral:rRNA from 1 species